CUUAGAAUGACUGCUUUCAAAGGAAUGGAGAACACAACUAGGGGGAAUGAAUGGGUCUUCACUUGGACAAGAUGCUGUUACCUAAGAAGCAACUAGUCAAGUCAUUUCUGCAGGACUCCUGGCUGAUGGGUGCUAUCAAGUUCCAACAGGAAAGCAGACUUUUACACCACAGACUUUUAAGUGCUAUUAGAAUUAAACAGAAGGAGGAGGAAGAAAGGAACAAGAAGGAGAAGAAAGACAAAGAGAAGGAGAGCAUAUUUCCCAGCUAUGGCCCUUUUCACUACUUUAAAAGCAAAACCAUCAAAGAAUGGGCACCUUUCUAUGGGUAUG
rnacentral:lncRNA from 1 species